GGAGUCUCAUUUUGUCAUCCAAGCUGGAGUGCAGAGGCGUGAUCUAGGCUCACUGCAACCUCUCGGAUUCAAGGGAUUUUCCUGUCUCAGCCUCUCAGAAGAGAACAUCUUCAUAGGAGAGGAGCUCUAGGAACUGAGAAUGCAGGAAAUUGGAAGAAAUAUACAUUAAUAGCCAAGAAUUUAGACAGGACUGGGGAGCCAGGAACAAACAUUUGAGAUGUUGGGCUUUUAAUGGAGUUGCCACGGAUGACAGCAUCAUGAGAAAUGAGGUUUAAAAAUGGAGGAUUGUUCGAGGAGGGAGGAGGGCUGAUCUGAAAGCCACAAGGAGGACAAAUGGAACACCUACCCCCACUACAGGCUGGAAGCUAUCUCCUCUGCAGAACUCUGUGCUAAUGAUAGAAUUUGCAUACUAAUGAUAAUUGCAACCAAGAAAGCUGUAUUCUCUUUCUACUCGAGAUAGAGAGUCUCACUAUGCUGGCCAGACUCGUCUCAAACUUCUGGGCUCAAGCAAUCCUCCCACCUGCCUCAAUCUCCCAAAAUGCUGGAAUUACAGGCAUAAGCCAUCACACCCAGCCAGUAAUUGACUCUGAAAGUAACACACAAAGAUUGGAAAGUGAUCUAAGUUCUGAAUUCAAAUAUCAACACAUGCAUUUUGCUAUUUCUUUGUUCUUUAAUUGCAGCAAGAACAAAUAACAUGAGAUCUAUCUUCUUAUCAAAUUUGUAAGUAUAUAGUAGAGUAAUGUUACCUACAGGCACAAUGUUGUACAGCAUUUGUUCUACAUAAUGUUCUACAGGUAUCUGUAGAACUUAUUCUUCUUACCUAACUGAAACUAUGCCUGUUAAAUGGCAAAUCCCAAUUUUCCUCUCACCCAGCCUCCAGCAACCACUAUCCUACUUUCUGUUUCUGCUAGUUUUACUAUAUUGAACUCCAUAUAUAAGUGGAAUCACAUAGUAUUUGUCCUUCUGCAACUAGCUUAUUUUACUUAGCAUAAUGUCCUCAAGGUUCAUUCACGCUUUCUUAUAUAGCAGGAUUUGUUUAUUAUGGUUGGAUAAUAUUCCAUUAUAUGUUUAUAAGACAUUGUCUUUACACAUUCAUCUCUCAAUGAAUAUUUUGGUCAUUUCCACAUUAUAGCUAUUGUGAAUAAUCAUACAAAGGAAUUGAACAGGGAGCCCAGAAGGAAACUCAUGCUUAUAUGGUCAACUGGUGUUUGGCAAGGGUCCAAGAAUACUCACUGGGAAAAAGAGAGUCUCUUUAAUUAAUGAUGUUGGGAAAACUGAAUAUCCAUAGCAAAAAAAUAAAAUUGAACACUCCUCUCACACAAUAUAUAAAAAUCAACUCCAAGUAAAAAAAACUUCAUGACAUUGUCUCAGCAAUUAUUUCAUGGGUAUGACACCAAAAGCACAAACAACAAAAGGAAAAAUAGACAAGUGUGAUUACAUAAAACUAAAAAGUUUUGCAAAGCAA
ensembl:lncRNA novel transcript